CUACGCACUCCUACGGGAGGCAGCAGUGGGGAAUAUUGCACAAUGGGCGCAAGCCUGAUGCAGCCAUGCCGCGUGUAUGAAGAAGGCCUUCGGGUUGUAAAGGUACUUUCAGCAGUGAGGAAGGUGGGUAUGUUAAUAGCAUACUCAUUUGACGUUAGCUGCAGAAGAAGCACCGGCUAACUCCGUGCCAGCAGCCGCGGUAAUACGGAGGGUGCGAGCGUUAAUCGGAAUUACUGGGCGUAAAGCGCAUGCAGGUGGUUUGUUAAGUCAGAUGUGAAAGCCCGGGGCUCAACCUCGGAAUUGCAUUUGAAACUGGCAAACUAGAGUACUGUAGAGGGGGUAGAAUUUCAGGUGUAGCGGUGAAAUGCGUAGAGAUCUGAAGGAAUACCGGUGGCGAAGGCGGCCCCCCUGGACAGAUACUGACACUCAGAUGCGAAAGCGUGGGGAGCAAACAGGAUUAGACUACCCUGGUAG
rnacentral:rRNA from 1 species